GGGCAACUAGUUCAUCGGUAGAACGCCUCUCUGAUAAAGAGGAGGCGGAUGGUUCGACUCCAUCGUUGCCCACUA
rnacentral:tRNA from 1 species